rnacentral:rRNA from 1 species
UACGUAGGGCGCGAGCGUUGUCCGGAUUUAUUGGGCGUAAAGAGCUCGUAGGCGGCUUGUCGCGUCGUCCGUGAAAACCUGCAGCUCAACUGCAGGCUUGCGGUCGAUACGGGCAGGCUAGAGUUCGGUAGGGGAGACUGGAAUUCCUGGUGUAGCGGUGAAAUGCGCAGAUAUCAGGAGGAACACCGGUGGUGUAAACGGCUCUCUGGACCGUAACUGACGCUGAGGCACGAAAGCGUGGGUAGCAAACAGG